rnacentral:rRNA from 1 species
GUGCUCAAAAGGGAAACAGCCCAGACCAUCAUCUAAGGUCCCUAAAUUAACACUAAGUGGGAAACAAGGUGAAAUUUCUUAAACAGCGAGGAUGUUGGCUUAGAAGCAGCCAUUCAUUUAAAGAGUGCGUAACAGCUCACUCGUCAAGAGAUUUUGCGUGGAAAAUGUAACGGGGCUAAAGUGUUAUACCGAAGAUAUGGAUUUCGUUAUUCCUACGGGUUUAACGGAGUGGUAGAGGAGCGUUCCUAUCGGCAGUGAAGCUCAAUCGUAAGGUUGGGUGGAGCGUUAGGAAGUGAGAAUGCUGGAAUGAGUAACCAUAAGAAAGGUGAGAAUCCUUUCGGCCGUAAGAGCGAGGUUUCCAGGGCUACUGUAAUAAUCCCUGGGUUAGUCGGGCCUAAGCCGAGGCGUAGCAGCGUAGGCGAUGGACAUCAGGUUAAUAUUCCUGAACCGGUUAUAAUUUGUAUACUGUGUACGGUAAAUUAGUCGAAGCGGAUUAUUGGUAUAUAUCCGUCCAACUUAGCGGGAACGCAAAAGGAGUGAAAGUUAAUCUACGGAUUAAUGAUUUUGAUGAAAGUACUGGCUAGAAAAGCAGAUAUACGCGUGGUUAUAGCCGCCCGUACCGCAAACCAACACAGGUGCUCGAGUCGAGUAGACUCAGGCUUACGAGCGAACCUUCGCUAAGGAACUCGGCAAUACAGCGACCGUAACUUCGGGAUAAGGUCUGCCCCCACUUCGGUGGAUAUCAGCCGCGUUCACUCAGUGAAUAUUAGGUUAAAGAGUACAUUUUUAAUCACAAAACGAAUUUUCUGAGAUAGAGCAAACGAAUUGUUCUUUUGAACGCGAACCUCUGACGUCUAACGAUGUGGGGGCCGCAGCAAAAGAGCCCACGGAACUGUUUAUCAAAAACACAGGUCUCUGCUAACACGAAAGUGGAUGUAUAGGGGCUGACUCCUGCCCAGUGCUGGAAGGUUAAGGGGAGUGCUUUACGGUGCGAACUGAAGCCCCAGUGAACGGCGGCGGUAACUAUAACCGUCCUAAGGUAGCGAAAUUCCUUGUCAGGUAAGUUCUGACCCGCACGAAUGGAGUAAUCAUGUGGGCACUGUCUCGGCGAAGGACUCGGUGAAAGUGCAUUGGCGGUAAAGAUGCCGUCUGUCCAUGCCAGGACGAGAAGACCCCAUGGAGCUUUACUACAGCUUUACAUUGACACGGGUUACAUCAUGUGUAGCAUAGGUGGGAGGCUUUGAAACAGAUACGCCAGUAUUUGUGGAGCCACAGGUGAAAUACCACCCUUGAUGUAGUCUUUGUCUUACCAUUGCCGUUAUCCGGUAAUGGGACCGUGUAUGGUGGGUAGUUUAACUGGGGCGGUUGCCUCCUAAAGAGUAGCGGAGGCGUUCAAAGGUUGGCUAACUUCGGAUGGAAAUCGAAGUGAUAGUGCAUGCGCAAAAGCCAGCUUGACUGCGAGAAUUACAAUUCGACCAGAGUGGAAACACGGAGCAAGUGACCCGCUGUAAGAACAUUGUUCAUUGAAUGUGGGAUCGACAGCGCAAACGGAUAAAAGUUACCCUGGGGAUAACAGGCUUAUAGCGCCCAAUAGUUCACAUAGACGGCGCUGUUUGGCACCUCGAUGUCGGCUCAUCACAUCCUGGAGGGGGAGCACCUUCCAAGGGUUCGGCUGUUCGCCGAUUAAAGUGGUACGCGAGCUGGGUUCAGAACGUCGUGAGACAGUUCGGUUUAUAUCCGGCAUGGACGUAAGGAUUCUUGAGGAGAUUUGUCUCUAGUACGAGAGGACCGAGAUGAACGAACCUCUGGUGUAUCGAUUGUGGCCACCUGCCGCAGUGUCGAGUAGCUAUGUUCGGUUAAGAUAAGCGCUGAAAGCAUAUUAAGCGCGAAACUGACUCCAAGAUUAGGAAUCCCAUGAGGACACAGAAAGAUGAUCUGUUUGAUAGGCGCAAGGUGUAAACCUGGUAACAGGCUAGCCAAAGCGUACUAAUAGUCCAAUCGCCUUUUUA